UACGUAGGGGGCAAGCGUUAUCCGGAUUUACUGGGUGUAAAGGGAGCGUAGACGGUUUUUCAAGUCUGAAGUGAAAGCCCGCAGCUCAACUGCGGGACUGCUUUUGAAACUGCCAAGCUAGAGUGUCGGAGAGGUAAGUGGAAUUCCUAGUGUAGCGGUGAAAUGCGUAGAUAUUAGGAGGAACACCAGUGGCGAAGGCGAUUUGCUGGACUGUAACUGACACUGAGGCACGAAAGCGUGGGGAGCAAACAGG
rnacentral:rRNA from 1 species